CUUACUUCGAUAUUUGGAGGCUUGUUCUUGUCUACCUACUCGAGGCUUUGUAAGAUUAGUCUUUGAGGGAAUGGCUUGUAUUUUGGGUGACAUGGCUAAAACCUUUUUGUCAGACAUGCGUAGCUCAGUUUCUUUUCUGCUACAGGUUGUUUCUGUGACAUUGGAGAUAUUUCCUAACUUUUCUGAGACUCAUUUAUUCAAAUAUUUAUAUAAGAUCUAUUAUGUAGCAAGCAUUGUGCUGGGCCCUGGUGGUACAGUGGUGAGUAGUAUCCUAUAAAGCUGCUUGAAUAUCUACAAAGUAUCUUCCAUCACUGACAUAGGCACCCAGUAAAUGAUAUAUAUACAUCUGUUACUACCAUUUGGAAGAACUUUCAGAUUUGAAUUUAAGCUGAAUACAGCCAAAUACUCCCCUUGGUAUAAAAAUGUAGACAUCAUAACUCUAUAAGGGGUCAGUAUAAGUGUUGGAGAGGUGUUUUCAGAGAAAAGAAGCUCUUUAUCUAGGUUAGCAUGACAAAAGGCAUUCUAAAGCCUGUAACAUGAACUUAGGUUCUAAUAUUGAAAAAAGAAGAAGCACUUAUUCAAAUAUAAUUUGGUAACUACUCUAGUCACCUAACAUUUAUUGAGCAUCUCAAUAAUUAUAUUGGUGCUCUAUGAGCUUAAAACAAGUUUUCCAGGCCAUCCAAGUAGAAAAGGCUAAAGCCGAAAUUAGAAUUCAUUUCCUAAGUCAUUAGUGAAAGCAAUUUGGUGCAUUUAUGUUUCCACAUUUCAUUCAGUUCUUUCCUCAUAUAACACUUCAGAGAAUCUUUCCUGACCUUAUAUCUAAUUUCCCAUUACUGUCCUGUGACCCUACUGUAAUUUUUCUUGUAUCUGACAUAAAAUGUUGGGUUUGUUUUAUUUUUUUUUUUGCUUGUUUUAUUAUUUAUUUAUUUAAUCUUUUUACUCAACUAGAAUGUAAACUUAAUGAAGGCAAGGACUUAGUUCUUUGUAUUCACAGAGUAUCAGAACAGUGCUGGACAUGGUAACAGAUAGCCACACAAAUGACUUCCCCCAUCCCACUAUGAAGCCUGUACCAGGAAUGGCUAUACUUCCUUGCAGAAUAUGGUCUAGGAACUCAACAUAGCUCACAAGGGUGGGGCAACCUGCCUCCAUCCAACUUCUCUCUAGAUUUAGUUUCAGGCAUUCACAGCCAUAAACCUCAGUUCUAGCCACCUAAGAACACUUGUUAUUCCCUCAGUGGACAUCAAUGGGUUUCCUCAUAAGUUUAUGCCUGAAAUGCCUGCUCCUUCCUUCUUAGCUAGACAAAUUCCUCUUUAUCUGUCAAAGACCAACACAAAUGGCAUGGCUUCUCUCCUUCCAAGUAGAUUAGUUGCUCUGUGUUCCCAGAGAAACUGCACAAGCUUCUAUGAGAGUAUUACUUUCAUGCAUUCAUUCAACAAACAGUUGAGGGUUUGUCCUUGUCCUCUCAGACAAGAUUGAGAUCUCUGAGCACAGGGAUUAAAUCUUAAAAUGUGUGUAUCUGUCUGAACUCUGCCCAGGAUUUGACACACUAUACCUUCUCAGCUUUACAUUCUUAUUUACUUAUCAAAGAAUCAAUGUAAACAGUCCUCUCUAGAAAAAAGAUUGCUAUUGCUUCUGUGGAUCCCUACUAUUCCUUGUAGACUUAUAA
rnacentral:lncRNA from 1 species